rnacentral:piRNA from 1 species
UGGUCCUUCAACUGUCAGGGCUAUUGAU